GAUGAACGCUAGCUACAGGCUUAACACAUGCCAGUCGAGGGGAAGCGACAUCGAAAGCUUGCUUUUGAUGGGCGUCGACCGGCGCACGGGUGAGUAACGCGUAUCCAACCUGCCCAGCACUUGGGAAUAACCUUGCGAAAGUAAGACUAAUACCCAAUGAUAUCCCACGAAGGCAUCGGAAUGGGAUUAAAGAUUUAUCGGUGAUGGAUGGGGAUGCGUCUGAUUAGCUUGUUGGCGGGGUAACGGCCCACCAAGGCAACGAUCAGUAGGGGUUCUGAGAGGAAGGUCCCCCACAUUGGAACUGAGACCCUGGCCACACUGCUACGGGAGGCAGCAGUGAGGAAUAUUGGUCAAUGGGCGAGAGCCUGAACCAGCCAAGUAGCGUGCAGGAAGACGGCCCUAUGGGUUGUAACCUGCUUUUAUAAGGGAAUAAAGUGGGUCACGUGUGACUUUUUGCAUGUACCUUAUGAAUAAGGACCGGCUAAUUCCGUG
rnacentral:rRNA from 1 species